rnacentral:rRNA from 1 species
UACAGAGGUGGCAAGCGUUGUUCGGAAUUACUGGGCGUAAAGCGCACGUAGGCGGCUUGGUAUGUCGGGUGUGAAAUCCCCGGGCUCAACCUGGGAACUGCAUCCGAAACUGCCUUGCUCGAGUAUGGGAGAGGGAAGUGGAAUUUCCGGUGUAGCGGUGAAAUGCGUAGAUAUCGGAAGGAACAUCAGUGGCGAAGGCGACUUCCUGGACCAAUACUGACGCUCAGGUGCGAAAGCUAGGGGAGCAAACGGG